rnacentral:piRNA from 1 species
UGAAAGGACCUGGGUUGUGCUUUGCAUAC